CCUAAAACAAAAUCGGUUUUAUGCAGCAACUGAAGAAGAUAUUUACAGUAAAUCUACGUGCGAGGAUUUAUAUUUGUAAGAGAAAAUAUGAUUCCGAUUAAGUGCAGAGAUUUAAUUCAAUAAAUAUGUAUAUAUUAAAAAAAAAAAAAUGUAUGCUAAAAUCAUUCUAUACAUAAUUAAAUAAUAAUAUAUAUCUACGUAAAUAUAAAAAACUAAAAGCAUACAUACAAAUUUUUGUAAAAUAUUUUCUUCAAAAAUACAUUUACAUUAUUGUUUUGUAAUCGAUAAAGUUAUAAGACAAAUAUCGUUAUAAGUGCAUUAAACAAGAAAAAUGCAAACGUGAACAAAGAAAAAUACGAUAAGUUUUAAGCAAAGUUUAUCUAAUAUAUGUGUAAAAAGAGAUUAAAAUUUAAUCGUUAUAUUUAUUCGACUUACAAUGCAGUAGAUAAAUUAUUGUAAAUGCAUUAAAUGUAUGAAAUAAAUUAUCACAAGUCAUUAAGGAACAUAAUUUUAAUUAUUAUUAUAAUAUUAACUUCGUCUGACGCAUGCUAUACGUUCUGUAUAUAACGUACGUACAAGUAAAAUAAAACGUUCGAAAUACUCGAACUAUCACGGAAUCAGUAAAAGAUCGUUAUUAGUAAUAUAUAAGCGAUAACAUAGCAUUUUUAUUAAACUAUUGAUUUACGCUUCUAUUUUUUACAGCUUUCUACAAUUUUCCCAACAUGCAUGCAAGAAUUCGGCUCCGAGUGAAAGAAUCGGAAAAUUAAAGAAACCUAUUCUAUAACUGCAAAAUAUAAAGUAGGAAGCAAGAGAGGUGAAGGGAUAUACAUGGAUUCCUCUUUGGAAAGAACUGACUUACUGCGACGGUGGAGCCAUUUUUUCCGACACCACCGGCGAGAAUGACGGAUAUGCUGCUCUGUGCAAGUAAAAUAGCGAUGCCCACAGCAGCCCAUAAUGGAAACACCUUCACCUCUGUGCCAGUGUAUGGCAACUAUAUAAGAGCGACACGAAAGAUCUUUUGAUUAGUCAUCAGAGAGGCUACCCUCGUGUCAAGGACUCUUUAAAACUCCGUAUCCCUGACAUGUUAAUUACAUAAAAUAGCAAAGUCAAUCGGAAAUACAUCUGCUGUUUUCACUUUUGAAACAAUUUCGUAUUAACGCCAUAUUAAUUACAAUUCAUAAUGCUAAAACCAAUAGAACAGAUAUAUAUAAUGUUACAAAUUGCGUAGUAAAAUACUCUUGAUAUUCAAAACAAAUUUUUUACUGCUUCUAUAAAUUCUAGCUGCUGUUUACAAUCGUAUUAUAUAAAUGUAAUGCAAAUUUGCAAGUUUUAAUUUAAAAAAUCUGUAUAGAAAUUUAUACAUAGAACUUACACUCCUUUCUUUUUGUUAUUUCGCAAAACGUAAUCUUUGCCAUUGAAAAUAAAACAAGUUUUUCGGGGAA